AAGAAGAUUUACAAAAAAAAAAAAAAGUUAUUGAUAGAAAUGUGGAACUUAGCAAGCAAAUUAAAUUUAUAAUGAAACUUAUGCAAAAGGUUGGACUAUCAACCAUUUUAACUGGCACGGUUCCACCAGGAAGGAAUAUUGAAAACGUUAUGAAACUGCAAGAGACAUUAAAAGAAAAAUUAAAUUUAUAUAAUAGUAGUAGUAGACGUUCAGCCUUAAGGACACUAAAAAAAAUAACCAACAAUAAAGAUAGUAAUUCACAAAAUCGUCUCAAAAAAAGUGGUAUUGAUAAAGAGCACGAAAAUAAAAUCGAAAAAAAUAAUAACACCUUAGUAUGCGAAGAUUUUGUGGAUGAUGAAUAUGAAGGCGGUAAUAAUAAUAAUGACAAUGACAAUGAGGAAGAAUACAAUGAAAGCAUAUCUCACGUAUUUAUAAAUGAAAUGUUCUAUUCUUUCAUACUUAAAUUACAACAACAUAAUAACACAUGUGAUAAUUCUUUAAAUAACGUUGAAGAACAGUUAAAAAAUGAAGAAAAACCUUACGAUUUGUCUAAAAAAGCGAUAGAAGAUAUAUUAGGAAGUACAAUAGCAAAUAAACUUGAUGAUAAAGAAGUUAACACAGCAAAAAGUAUAAAAGAUGGUAAGAAUAAAGAAACUAUCGAUUCAAUUUUAAAUAUGCUUACCCCAUGGGAACAAAAAAUAUUAGCUCUAUUAUAUGAACAACAAAAAAUGAAAAAGAGUGUUCGUACAAUUAAGGAAAAAUUUUCACAACGCAUUCAACAUAUUAACGUGUUUAUUAAAAAAAUACUUAUCGAUAAGAUUGAAGUUGAAAGACACUUUAAUCGCAUUAUAAAAGCAACAGAAUGUUACAAAAACGAUAUGUUGAAAACUUCUGAUGUCGAUUCUAAUUUUAAGUUUGCUGGUUUAAUGAAAAAAUUAGAAGAACUUUCUAUAUCAUUAGCUGAAAAAACAAGAGACUUUAAUGUGUUAGCAGAAUUCCAUUUAAAUUUAAAAAAACAAAUGGAAAAAAAAGAUUUUUUAAUAAAAGAAUUACAAGAAGAAAACAAAUUGUUUUAUCUUGUUCCAAAAUAUAAUGAACUCUUAAAUGAAAUCGAUAAAAAUAAUGAAAAUGAUAAAAAUGGUGAAAAUGAUAAAAAUGGUGAAAAUGAUAAAAAUGGUGAAAAUGAUAAAAAUGGUGAAAAUGAUAAAAAUGGUAAAAAUGAUCAAAUUGGUAAAAAUGAUAAUAAAAGAACAGCUGUAAAAGAAUUGAAAAAAGAGUUCCUUUUAAUGUAUGGACGUUUAAUGAUUACUAAAAAAAAACUACAGGAAAAAGAAAUUAUAGAAAACGAUAUGAGGAAUUUAAAUAAAAAAAUAUAUACUGAACUCGUUGAAUCAAUAUCAGUUAUAAAAAACUUAGAAUCUCAAAAUAAAUUCUUAGAAUUUAAAUUAAAUAUAGCAAAUAAAAAAAAAGUGGAGAAAAUUAAAAAACUAUUAAAUAAAACAGAAAUGUUAAAUAAAAUCAUAAGCGAAAUGGAAAAAGUGUGUGCAGAAGCAAAUAUAGAUACCGUCGAAUUAAAAAAAAAUAUAUUAGAAAAUUAUAAAAAUUCUAAUUUAUUAACAAAUAACAUAGACACCGAAGAUGAUAAGUCUGAACGGGAAAUGCAAGAAAUUACAGGAGAAUUGCCAAAACCAAAAAAAAAAAAGAAAAAAAAAAAAAUCGAAAAAAUUAUAGACAAUAUAGAAUCAAAAGAUAAGCAAAUGACCUAUAAAAAAAAAUUAUUUAAAAGUAAACAAACGAAUUAUACUAAUAUAAGUAGCAUUCCUGGAAAAGUAAUAAGUAACGUUAAAAAGGUUAAUACUACAGGAACGAAUGUUAAAAAAAUUGGUGCAAGUGUAAGUCUUAAAAAAAAGAUUAAUAAAAACAAAAGUUUAGAAAAAAAAAAUCUCAUAAAAGAUUUUUAUAGUGAUAUCUCUAAUGGAGAAUCAUUGGAAGCACCAAAAAAAUUUAGAAACAAGAAAAAAACUUCAAGUAUAAUGACGAAAAAAACAAAAAGUAGAACAAAUAAGACAGUUGUUGGAAAUACAUCCCUAAGUGAAUAUACAUUUAGUAGUAGUAUUAAUAAGAAAAAAAAAAAAAAAAUAAUUAAAAAAAAAUAAGAAGCGCGCAAUAUUUUCCGAUAAAAAUAAUUCUGAAGAUAAAGAAAUGAGCAUAGGGGCAGAAUAUGAAAAAACUACACUUUCACCAAAUGAAUCUGAUAACAAUUCAAUGGAUCCCGAAACAAAUGAAGUGCGUGCUUUACUAAGCAAAGAAAUUGAAAUGAAAAAAGAGGGUAGCACAGUUUAAUUUUAGAGUUUUACGAAUACAUAUAUAUAUAUAUAUAUAUACAUUUAAAAAAUGUUGUAAGUUAAAAAAUGAAAAGUGAAAAACAAUAUUUGCAACAUUUUAUUCAUCAAAACAAUGACAGAAAAAAAAUAUUAAACGGUGAAUGUAAUUAUAAUGACAAUAAAAAAGAUAGUUAUAAUCA
ensembl:lncRNA